UAGGGAAUCUUCGGCAAUGGACGGAAGUCUGACCGAGCAACGCCGCGUGAGUGAAGAAGGUUUUCGGAUCGUAAAGCUCUGUUGUUAGAGAAGAACGUUGGUAGGAGUGGAAAAUCUACCAAGUGACGGUAACUAACCAGAAAGGGACGGCUAACUACGUGCCAGCAGCCGCGGUAAUACGUAGGUCCCGAGCGUUGUCCGGAUUUAUUGGGCGUAAAGCGAGCGCAGGCGGUUCUUUAAGUCUGAAGUUAAAGGCAGUGGCUUAACCAUUGUACGCUUUGGAAACUGGAGGACUUGAGUGCAGAAGGGGAGAGAGGAAUUCCAUGUGUAGCGGUGAAAUGCGUAGAUAUAUGGAGGAACACCGGUGGCGAAAGCGGCUCUCUGGUCUGUAACUGACGCUGAGGCUCGAAAGCGUGGGGAGCAAACAGG
rnacentral:rRNA from 1 species